UACGUAGGGGGCAAGCGUUGUCCGGAUUUAUUGGGCGUAAAGGGCGUGUAGGCGGCCAGACAGGUCCGUUGUGAAAACUCGAGGCUCAACCUCGAGACGCCGAUGGAAACCGUCUGGCUAGAGUCCGGAAGAGGAGAGUGGAAUUCCUGGUGUAGCGGUGAAAUGCGUAGAUAUUGGGAGGAACACCAGUGGCGAAGGCGGCUCACUGGACCGGUUCUGACGCUGAGGCGCGAAAGCGUGGGGAGCAAACGGG
rnacentral:rRNA from 1 species